AGCUCCAAUAGCGUAUAUUAAAGUUGCUGCGUUUAAAAAGCUCGUAGUUGGAUCUCAGUCUCGAUCGAGCGGUCCGUCUUCUGACGGCACUGCGCGAAUCGGACAUUCCGGAGUGUGAGGGGAGAGUGGUACGUUUACUUUGAAAAAAUUAGAGUGCUCAAAGCAGGCCACCGCCUGAAUAGUCGUGCAUGGAAUGAUGGAAUAGGACCUCGGUUCUAUUUUGUUGGUUUCCGGAACUUGAGGUAAUGAUUAAUAGGGACGGACGGGGGCAUUUGUAUUGCGACGUUAGAGGUGAAAUUCUUAGAUCGUCGCAAGACAAACUACUGCGAAAGCAUUUGCCAAGAAUGUUUUCA
rnacentral:rRNA from 1 species